AUGGCCACCAGCACCAACAUGAAGGGCUUGGCCCUUCUCCUCGCUCUUGCAGCGACGCUCCUGCCCUACUGCAGUGCCUCUGCCUCCUCGCCGGUUGCAGCUCCGGCUCCGGCUACCUACGCUGAUGGUGCAUCCCCGCCUUACGGCGCCUUCCCGCUGGCCCCAGCUGCCUACGCUGAGGCACCAACGACGGCGCACCAUGCACCUGCACUGGGGAAGCAUCACCACGAUGCCCAGUCCCCGGCCGAGCCACCGGCAUUCCGCAACGCAUCUGAGCACGGGAAGCGUCACCACCAUGAUAGCUCGCCCGUGGUGGCACCGACGCCAUACCACAGCAAUGCGUCUGAGCACAAGCACCAUGGCCACCUCGGCCACGGCAAUGCAUCUGAGCAUAAGCACCACGGUCACCUCGGGCACCACCACCAGCAACACGAAGCUCCACCCCCGGCUCACAGUGCACCACCGCCUCACUUGCCGCCUCCUGCUUAUCCCUCACCACCGCCACCUGCUCACCAUUUGUCACCCCCUGCUCACCCAUCACCGCCGCCCCCGGCACACCACUUGCCACCCCCUGCUCACACUUCGCCGCCGCCCCCCGCCCCCGCCUCACCACUCGCCGCCACCCCCUGCUCACCAUUCGCCGUCACCCCCGGCACACCACUUGCCACCUCCGCCCCCAUCUCAUUAUCCGCCGCAUGUUCCUGCACCUCCGGCACAUAA
rnacentral:rRNA from 1 species